rnacentral:rRNA from 1 species
UACGAAGGGGGCUAGCGUUGCUCGGAAUCACUGGGCGUAAAGCGCACGUAGGCGGGUUGUUAAGUCAGGGGUGAAAUCCUGGAGCUCAACUCCAGAACUGCCUUUGAUACUGACGGUCUGGAGAUCGGGAGAGGUUGGUGGAAUUCCGAGUGUAGAGGUGAAAUUCGUAGAUAUUCGGAGGAACACCAGAAGCGAAGGCGGCCAACUGGCCCGAUACUGACGCUGAGGCGCGAAAGCGUGGGGAGCAAACAGG